rnacentral:rRNA from 1 species
UACAGAGGGGGCAAGCGUUGUUCGGAAUUACUGGGCGUAAAGGGCGCGUAGGCGGCCCGCUAAGUCGAACGUGAAAUCCCCGGGCUCAACCCGGGAACUGCGUCCGAUACUGGUGGGCUUGAAUCCGGGAGAGGGAUGCGGAAUUCCAGGUGUAGCGGUGAAAUGCGUAGAUAUCUGGAGGAACACCGGUGGCGAAGGCGGCAUCCUGGACCGGCAUUGACGCUGAGGCGCGAAAGCCAGGGGAGCAAACGGGG